rnacentral:misc_RNA from 1 species
UCAUGAAGCUCCUUGAAGAAGACGAGGAUGAAACAAUGCAUUCGGGGGCGGAUGUGGAGGCAUUCACUGCUGCCCUAAACAGGGAUAUCGGUGGAGAUAAUUCACAAUCUCAGCCUUCGGAUUCCGAUAGCGUGCCAUUGUCUCAAGGAAGCAGUUAUACCUCAAAUCAGUUUGCCCCAUGGCAAACUGCUAACCAUGACGAAAAUGCCAGUCGUUGUAACCUUCAAGAUUCAGA